AUCUGAUUUGCACAAACAUAGUUAUCUGCGUGUGCUGCCUGACUUGGUAUUUGUUAUAUCCUUUUGGUUGAAUGGAUGGUGGUGCCACUACAGUGGUAGUUUAUUCAGGUUGCUAUGAGGUUAAUCCCUUUGGAAACAUUCUUUGAGAAUUUUGUAAUGCUUCCUUUGGGGUGGUGAUACACUAUCGCGCAAGUUCUAUGGUAUGCGAGUUCCUGUUGUUGGUGCAAGCAUUGAUAAAAUAUGUCAUGUGCAGGGAGCUCCGCAUCUGAGUCUCGGCCAUGCUCCACAGCAAGGAGCUGGGCCAGGGGAGAAAGCAGCGAUGUUGGUUCCUUGAGGCCGGAUCAAGAAUUUUACUAUGUUUUGUGUUCUUCAUGUAUGUCCAGUUUCACAUUGCUGGUGUUUCAUGCCAUAUUCAUCAAUCCUACUCACAUGCCUUAUGGUUGAGUAACUUGAUUAGUAUUGAUGCCACUAUCCUAUCUCAAUAAACUGUUUGUUUUUUCAGUAGCAAAUAAAUAAAUAAAGUAAAUCUACUAUAUCUUGGUAUUCUAGAAUUUCGGUGCCUAACAGAAGUUGCUUUAUGUCCUGCUUUAGCUUGGAAACCUGAUGAUUUGUUGUUUGUUAUCAUUUCUUAAGUUUGAAAUGUUUCAAAAUCUCGUGUGCCCCGGUCCUUGAAUAGAUAUGUAUGCACCUUAGUAGUAAUAAAUACAUUGGUCAUGUAAAUAUCACUGGGAACUAUAUCUGUGUCCAUAUGUUCUUGCCAGCAUUAAAUGUUGUAAGUAGAGGUUAGAAAUGCAGAACUGGGAUGUUGCGCUGGAAGUUUCAGCUUCACGUCUUCUUAGGUUUAACUGUUGGUUUACAUUGAAACUGUAGCAAGUGUCAAAUGAUGGUUUCUUACAAGCGCACAUAACUAUUGGUUGUGCAAUUUGUCUAGUAAUCUAGGUGCACAUAAGUAUCAGGCCAUAUGUUUUCUUAUAAGCAAACUAUAUUGGUGGUUGUAAGAUAUAACUUAAAAUAUACUAGUGCUAUCGUGAUUUUCAUACUAAAUGCCAUUCAUUUAUCAGUCUGAUUUUUUUAUGCUUCUAAUGCGUGAUCCUUCCAAUGCUAGGUGAUUUGAUUUUCAGAAGUUGGAAGAAGAGGACGAUGAAGCAUGGAGUUUUCUAUUAAUCUACCUCUUGUUCUGGUUGUACUCUGUAGCUAGUUAUAUUGUAAUCGGUAGUAGUCAGUAGAUCUAUUUCUAUGAAUACUAUGUAAAGACUGUAAUAGGCUAAUUUUGCAUAUCAUUUCAAGAAUUUAGUUUUGUUCCAUUUGAAAUAUUUGUUUUUUGUGUACUGUGAAAGCUUGAGAAGUAAAAAGUUGGCAAGUUGGACCAACUUAAUGAAAAAGGCCAAGUCCCCAAAAGUAAAUGGAGUGUAAAAU
rnacentral:lncRNA from 1 species